UCCGGUUUGUCACCGGCAGUCUCCUAUGAGUCCCCAACUGAAUGCUGGCAACAUAGGACAGGGGUUGCGCUCGUUGCGCCACUUAAGGCAACACCUCACGGCACGAGCUGACGACAGCCAUGCAGCACCUGUGCAGGCUCCCGAAGGAGCGCCGUGUUUCCACGGCUUCACCCUGCAUGUCAAGUCCUGGUAAGGUUCUUCGCGUCGCAUCGAAUUAAGCCGCAUGCUCCGCCGCUUGUGCGGGGCCCCGUCAAUUCCUUUGAGUUUUAGCCUUGCGGCCGUACUCCCCAGGCGGGGUGCUUAAUGCGUUAGCUUCGGCACGGACGGAGUCGACACCGCCCACACCUAGCACCCAUCGUUUACGGCGUGGGCUAC
rnacentral:misc_RNA from 1 species